GCAUUAAUGGGGUAGUGGUAACCUGGGUCGUUGCCAACGGAUCGUAAGAUUCGACCCGCCGGGGGUUCGAUUCCCUCUUAAUGCA